GGAAGUAAGAGUCGUAACAAGGUCUCCGUAGGUGAACCUGCGGAGGGAUCAUUACAGAGUUCUCGCCCUCGCGGGUAGAUCUCCCACCCACUGUUAUCGUUACUGUGUUGCUUUGGCGGGCCGCCGGGCCCCGCUCGGCCGCCGGCUCCGGCUGGCGCGCGCCCGCCAGAGGCCCAGCAAACUCUGAAUGUUAGUGUCGUCUGAGUACUAUAUAAUAGUUAAAACUUUCAACAACGGAUCUCUUGGUUCUG
rnacentral:misc_RNA from 1 species